rnacentral:rRNA from 1 species
GAUGAACGCUGGCGGUAUGCUUAACACAUGCAAGUCGAACGGACUCUUCGGAGUUAGUGGCGGACGGGUGAGUAACGCGUGAGAAUCUGGCUUUGGGUUCGGGACAACCACUGGAAACGGUGGCUAAUACCGGAUGUGCCGAGAGGUAAAAGAGAAAUUGCCUGAAGAUGAGCUCGCGUCUGAUUAGCUAGUUGGUGAGGUAAAGGCUCACCAAGGCAGCGAUCAGUAGCUGGUCUGAGAGGAUGACCAGCCACACUGGGACUGAGACACGGCCCAGACUCCUACGGGAGGCAGCAGUGGGGAAUUUUCCGCAAUGGGCGAGAGCCUGACGGAGCAAUACCGCGUGAGGGAAGAAGGCUCUUGGGUUGUAAACCUCUUUUCUUAGGGAAGAACAAAAUGACGGUACCUAAGGAAUCAGCAUCGGCUAACUCCGUG